GAAGCGGCAACAGCUCAAAUUUGAAAGCUGGCCUUCGGGUCCGCAUUGUAAUUUGUAGAGGAUGCUUUGGGGCAGCCGCCUGUCUAAGUUCCUUGGAACAGGACGUCAUAGAGGGUGAGAAUCCCGUAUGUGACAGGACAUGGCACCCUAUGUAAAGCUCCUUCGACGAGUCGAGUUGUUUGGGAAUGCAGCUCUAAAUGGGAGGUAAAUUUCUUCUAAAGCUAAAUACCGGCGAGAGACCGAUAGCGCACAAGUAGAGUGAUCGAAAGAUGAAAAGCACUUUGGAAAGAGAGUUAAAAAGCACGUGAAAUUGUUGAAAGGGAAGCGCUUGCAAUCAGACUUGUUUUGACUGUUCGGCCGGUCUUCUGACCGGUUUACUCAGUCUGGACAGGCCAGCAUCAGUUUUGGCGGCCGGAUAAAGGCCUAGGGAAUGUGGCUCUCGCUUCGGUGGGAGUGUUAUAGCCCUGGGUGUAAUACGGCCAGCCGGGACUGAGGUCCGCGCUUCGGCUAGGAUGCUGGCGUAAUGGUUGUA
rnacentral:rRNA from 1 species